rnacentral:lncRNA from 1 species
UGACUGAGUUGGGGCAUCAGUUCCAACUGAUGGCAGGCGCCUAAGAGGGGCCUCUGCUCUGUCUCAGAAGUGGGGUUAGUUUGGAGCAGAAGUGGGGACAAGCAGUUCAGCUCAUCAUUUAUCAGGAGCAAAGGGCUUCAGUGAAAUUCAAUAUUGUCAACGUGCUCUGGGAUGUGAAUUCCAUCCCUCCAGUCUGGGUGACACCUUCAUCUUCUCAACCAGCACUGAUAUUCCUGCCCAGGAACUUAAGAACUGCCCCUUGCUGUGGUCUGGGUCUCAAGGCUCUUUUCCUGGGAGCUUAAGACUUUUGACUUUUCCCUUGAAGGUGUCCACAUGCCUCCAUGCCUGGCUUACCUGCAGCCUGUCUAACCCCCAAGAGAUGCAUCUGAGACAGCGUCAUAACCUCUGCUUCCAAACCACCAUCGCUAAAGGCACAGUCCUGAGGGAAAUGAAUCAUCGCCUUGGAAAUUUGCAACCUAUGGGCUGAAUUCAGCUCACAGAAGUGUUUUUUCCACAGGGUGUUUUGCUUUGAUUUUUAAACUUGAAUUAGAUGCCUAUAUAAAAAAUCAGGAUAUUGAAUCUAAAAAUCCAAAUUUCUAAAUCUAAAAAUCCAAAUUUCUAACUUCUCCUGAAAAGUAGAUUGCUCCAGCAGUUCUGGCCUGUGUUUCUAUUGUAUGCUCCUACACUGUUCAACAAAAGUUCUGACAAUAAAAUUUGUUAUUUAAAAAGUUCUAUUUAUGAAUACAAGUAUUUGAGUGCUGUUACUUUUAUACAGCCUAAGUGAGGAGGAGUACAAAUUCCAUCUUCUAAUCACCACUGUUCCGUGAAUCUAUUCAGUCUUUUAUAUUUUCUGUGGGUGUUUAAGUAUUUCUAUUUCCUACCACCAAUUGUCACUUUCAGUACUAGGACAACUAGCCAAAGAGAUUUUAGUUUCGGAUAAUUUGUUAAUCAAGGCAUCAUUUAGAAAAAUUACUUACUGUUUAUUUCGAAUUGCCUGACUACAUAAUAAUCAUGACAUGUAUCCUUAAACACAUGACCUACUUCACUGUACAUUUUACUUGAUCAUCCCAGCACACUGUCUGCAUGGUCAACUUGGUGUUCAUAAACUGUGAAAUCAUGUGAUAUGGUCAACUCCUACUUGGAGCUUGCUUAUACCUUAUAUAGAGAGAGGGGCUGUGGGGCAUCACUGGUGAGUGUGGGAGGCCUGAAAGGAAGUCCUAUAUCUCCCUCUCCUUUGGACGCAAAGGCAGCACAAUUUGGAGCCCAGAGUUAAACUGUGGUUUCAGCAUUGUGAACACAAGUGUAAAGUCCUGUCUCUGAAGCCUUUUCCUGCUCUCUCUUAGGAUUAGGGGCUCCUCCCUAGUGUCCCCAUAGCUUUCUGAGCCUGUUCCUAUUACUGCCCACCCCAUUGUAUUGUAAUUACUUGUUUCUGUGUCUGUGUCCUACCUAGAGGUGAGUCUUGAAGAUGGGAAUGAUGUCUUUCCCAUGAUUAUAGCCCCAGGCCCAGCGAGGCCUUGAGGAAUGAUCUAGAGACACAGCACUCUUCAAC